UACAGAGGGUGCAAGCGUUAAUCGGAAUUACUGGGCGUAAAGCGCGCGUAGGUGGUUCGUUAAGUUGGAUGUGAAAUCCCCGGGCUCAACCUGGGAACUGCAUUCAAAAUGACGAGCUAGAGUAUGGUAGAGGGUGGUGGAAUUUCCUGUGUAGCGGUGAAAUGCGUAGAUAUAGGAAGGAACACCAGUGGCGAAGGCGACCACCUGGACUGAUACUGACACUGAGGUGCGAAAGCGUGGGGAGCAAACAGGA
rnacentral:rRNA from 1 species